rnacentral:misc_RNA from 1 species
AAAAUACAGUUACUUUAGAAGAUAAGUAAUUUUGUUCUGGUUCAUUAUUCUUUUGCGUUGGCCUUGCGGGGUUACUCAUCUAAGAGUGGAAUGAGGAACAAAGUUUACAAGUUCUAAGGAUUAUAAUUUUUUUUUCUCAAAUUAUAUCUUUUCCCCUUCCUGUAUUGGUUCUCCGGCUAUUUUUAGGUAUGUAAUGUAAAUAAUUGUCUUCCCAUGCUGUGCUGGAUGGCUAUAUGUGUACUAAGUUGCUGUACAGUAAUGUUUGAUCGCAAUGGGAUUGUAGAUUAAGUUGUUCAAGUAGCACUUGGAUCUUGGUUCUAGAUGUUGCUUUUGUUUUGAUUCUGAUAAGCAUAGUUAGCUGAUGAUACAAAAGGAAUUUGUUGGGAUGGUUGUGUGUGUGGAAUAAUAAAGGAAUUUGAUUCUAGUAAGCGCAGUUAGUUGAUGAUACAAAGGAAUUUGAUUCUGGUAACCACAGAGGGUGAAGGCCAAACUGAACUGUUGAUAGGAAAGGUGUUAGUUUGAAUGGAGUGUUACUGUCCCAAAGCAAUCGCUUUAAAUAUCUAGGCUCAGUUCUACAAGUGGAUGGGGGAUGUGAAGAGAAUGUUAUUCAUAGGAUUAAAGCCGGAUGGU